rnacentral:rRNA from 1 species
UGGGGGAUAUUGCACAAUGGGGAAACCCUGAUGCAGCAAUGCCGCGUGAGGGAAGAAGGUCUUCGGAUUGUAAACCUAAGUAGCCAGGGACGAUAAUGACGGUACCUGGAGAGUAAGCUCCGGCUAACUACGUGCCAGCAGCCGCGGUAAUACGUAGGGAGCGAGCGUUGUCCGGAUUUACUGGGUGUAAAGGGUGCGUAGGCGGGAUGGCAAGUCAGAUGUGAAAUACCGGGGCUUAACCCCGGGCUGCAUUUGAAACUGUCGUUCUUGAGUGAAGUAGAGGCAGGCGGAAUUCCUAGUGUAGCGGUGAAAUGCGUAGAUAUUAGGAGGAACACCAGUGGCGAAGGCGGCCUGCUGGGCUUUAACUGACGCUGAGGCACGAAAGCAUGGGGAGCAAACAGGAUUAGAUACCC